AGUAGGAGCGGGCCAGUCGAUCUGCCAAACAGUCUGCUAGUCAUCCCAGCUAGCUAGCGAGUGAGUGCGUCAGCGCCGUUGGACACACAGGGCUACUUAGCCAGCCAGUGAGAUAACCUGGCAGUGGGACACUUAGGCUGUCAUCAGGCAGCGCUAGCGGAAGGAACCAGCCAUAGAAGUAGAAAUAGUAGCAGCAGCAGCAGUGGCAGCGUCAGCGACAGCGCCAACAGCAGCCACUCGGGCAGCCACUCGUGCAGUUAGCCAGUUAGCACGCCAACUAAAAAAGCAACAACCAACAACCAAGAGCCACCAAGCAGGCAAGCAGCCAGCCAGGCAGGCAGCAAGUCAGCCAGUCGGGCAGUCGGCAGUCAGCCACCGCAUAUUCGCACACUCAGCGAACGCAACGCAACACAUGCAAAAAGUUACUCGCUUGCAACGAACGAGACGAGACACGCAACGGCUAAGAACGGAUCGCAUUAGCGGCACUAGCAGCAAAUAGCUAACUAACUGACUACAGAAAGACCAGCGGCGGCUGAAUGUGUAGAAAAGGCGGAAAGAAAUUACUUUUUUUGUUGGUUUUUUUGCCGUACCAACGAAGUGUGUACUGAACUCUUUUAAGUAAUUGAAAAUAGAAAAAAAUUCCUGAAAUGUUGAAAGUUUUCGAAAAAAAUUAGACUUUUGUAAAAAUGCAACGCCAAACGAGUAUGCAAAGUGAACUGGAAAAAAGUGUUUCGAGUGCGACGAAGCAUUAGCGUAGCGGGAAAGGCAGUAAACGUCGUGCGCAUAGCGGAAGUAUAGCAGUGAGAAAGUGCGAUCAAUAUCAAUUUACUAACAACAAAAUAAGAAUAUGCGGCAUGAGCACACAAAACGUCAUUACAACUAACUAAAAAUUGCGUAAAAAAAAUUAUUUUAAAUAAACUGAGCAAGAAGCGGCUAAAAAGCUAACAUUGUAUAAAAAAAUCGUCACAAAAAGAUAUGUGCAUAAAAAGUGGAAAUUAAGCAGAAAUUGAAAAAAAAAUUAAGAAAAAAAUUGAAAAAAUCGUGCAUGUAUUAACUCUAAAACUGUUUCGGUGAAC